rnacentral:tRNA from 1 species
GGGCGCGUGGCUCAGUGGUAGAGCACUUCUCUGAUAAAGAAGAGGUCGAAGGUUCAAUUCCUUCCGUGCCCAC